UCGAAGUCAUCGACAAUCGCGGUUCGGUCGAGUCGCGGCUGUGGUUCAAUUGCCGGAGAGGAGGGGCGUAUCCGCACGUGUGCCGCUUUCUUAUGUAAUCUACGUCUACAUACGACGCGUGUCGGCCGACACGGCGACGCUCCGCGAUCACUUCGAGUAGACAGUCAGCCGGUAGUCGUGGUCGAGGUAUCGCGUUAUCAAAGGCCAAGUAGGGCGGUCACGGUCCUCCUCGGCUCCCGACUUUCGAUAAAUACCACCGGUGAAUUUGACUCGCCGACGGUUUUUCGUCCGAUCGCGUCGAUAAAUCGGAGACUGCGACCACGGAUGUUCUUCGAUCACCGCGGCGCGGCCGUAACCAGAACCCUGAAUCCGAGAUCUCGAGAGAGGCCUGCUGCUUCGGAUGAAACGUUCCAGCGGAACGGGGUCCGGGUCCUGUUGCGAGAUGACGACGGCCAUUGCCUGCCUCCUGUUGGUGCUGUUUCCGUUGACGUCCGUUCUCGCCGAGUACCGCGACAAACGCCACGAGGAGAGCGGGGCCAAGUACAAUAUUCUGGGCAUCUUCGGGCAUCCUGGAAAAAGCCACUUUGACUUCUUUCGACCUCUCCUGAUCGAGCUGGCGAGGCGAGGCCACGAUGUUACGGUGGUCUCGCACUUCCCCCGAGGUCCCAAGGACGAGUCCUUGCCAAAUUAUAGGGACGUCAGCUUGGCACCGACGGCCAGGGACAAGAUCGGCAUGGGCAACGGGGUCAACGUGGUCGACCUGAGCAGGAUAAACUACUCGCCGUUCUCCGUCGUGAAGGAGGUGGCGCUCUUGAGGGCUUGGGGACUCCAGGCUUGCGAAGACGCUCUGAGGAACGAGGACGUGCGUCGCCUCGUCGCCUCGAAUGACACGUUCCAUGUCAUCCUGACGGAGUCGUUCAAUACCGACUGUUUCCUCGGAUUCGUGCACAGAUUCAAGGCGCCCUUCAUCGCGCUCUCGUCGCACCAGAUUAUGCCCUGGACUCAAGAGCGCCUCCGAGACCCGGAGAACCCUAGCUACGUGCCCUGCUCCUUCCUAGGAUUUUCCUGGAAGAUGAACUUUUUGCAACGAGUACAAAACGCCUUGACGGUGGCGCUAACGAGAGUGUACUUCAGGACCGCGUACGAGUGGCCAACCCAGGUCCUGGUAGAAGAGGCCUUCGGUCCAGGAGUUCCUCCCCUGUGGGAGAUCGCCAGGAACACUUCGGCCAUCCUCCUCAACACUCAUUAUUCGCUGCAUGGCGCGAGACCUCACCUCCCAAACGUGAUCGACGUUGGAGGCUUGCACAUUCCGAACUUCAAUCGGGAAUGGGGAUCGAGCAAGGUCUCGCUGGAGGAUCAACUGCCUCAGGACAUUCGACGAUUCCUCGAUAACGCGUCCGAAGGGGUACUCUACUUCAGUUGGGGCUCUAUGAUCAAAAUGUCCAGUCUGCCCGAGAAGAAGCUGCAAGCCAUCCUUCGAGUUUUGGGUUCCAUCCCCAGAAAGGUCCUCUGGAAGUGGGAGGCCGAUGACCUCCCCGGAAAGCCGGAUAACGUCAUGGUGGCCAAAUGGCUGCCUCAGUUCGCCGUUCUAAAUCAUCCAAACGUGAAAUGCUUCUUGGGGCACGGAGGACUCCUGGGACUCUCCGAAGCGGUCUACGCGCAGGUACCGAUGGUCCUGGUGCCCAUGUACGGGGAUCAGUUUCAUAACGUUGCCGCGGCAGAGGCCAGAGGGGUCGCCGUUGUUCUGCCGUACAACCUUCUGGACGAGAGGACCUUUCGAGAUGCCUUGGACAGAGUCUUUAACGAUACCAGAUACACCUCGAACAGCCAAAUUCUCGCGAAGGUGUACAGGGAACGGCCGUCCAGCCCUCUGGAGACGGCGGUCUGGUGGACCGAGUUCGUCGGGCGAGGAUACCCUGUCAGCUAUCUGCGCAACGAGGGGGCCGAGUUGGCCUGGUAUCGAUACUACCUCCUCGACGUCGUCGGAUUCCUUCUGCUCCUCGGGCUGGCAGGCGUUUUCCUGACUUACCGCCUCGCCAGGGCAUCGAUCUCCUAUCUCCUGGCCCUCUGGGAGACAUUCGUCGGGACGACGAGGAGACGCGCAGUUGGCGCAAAAUCCAAUAAAGCGGACUAGAGAGCGCCACCGUCGCGCCCCGAACUCGGGUAAUUACCCUGCCAAGGCACAUAAGGGGGCCGUGCCGGGAAUGGCUCGGAAACUCGGCACCCACGCGUCCGGACUGUGGGGCCAGUCCUCGAAGCAGUCGGGGAUGGGACGGAGGACCGAAGAAUGGGAAGCGACGAGCACGAACUUUGGGCGGAAGGAGGAAAAGGAUUACGAAAUCUUCGCCAGUCCCUUUCGAGCGUUCCCCGUCUCUUCCCGCUCCCGAGUACCACCGUUUUCCUUGUUUACGAUCUCAUAACUCUCGAACCGAACUCCGCUCCGAAUGUUGCUCGCAAUCGCUUCGGCGAGGCCGCGCGACCGAUCGUUCCCCUCUUUCGAGGAGUAAUACCUCGGAGCGCGUUAUGCGCGCAAAGAGACGAGGAACGAACGAUGGAGCGGCGUUUCGACGUUUUCGCGAGUAUCGGACAAAAUAUAAUUUCGAAAAUUAUUUUAUCGACGUUACGCUAAAUCGUCCAUGGAGAAGGGCUUUAAUCGAAUCACUCGGCAACGGAAGCGGACGAAUGGUCAUUAUUUAAGGGAUAGGAACCUCAAAAAUAAAGCGUGCAAUUUCGA
rnacentral:misc_RNA from 1 species